CGGAGUUUACUGCUUCAAACAUAAACAACGAUGGCAAAGGGAGUGGAUGUCUUCUUUUAAGGUUGUGUAACCAAAAUCCAACAUUAAGUCAGCGUCAAAUUGACGUCAAAUACUGACAUCAACACGAUUUUCAUUCUCAACCAAAAUGCAACAUCUGUCCGACAUCAUGUCCAACGUCAACCUGACGUUAUAUAGAUGUCCAGUGCCUGCUGGGACAUGUUUUUGCACAAGUUUGUUGUGAUUGGAACAACUUAAAUAUCUGGUAGUGUAUUAUAGAUAAGACCCUUCUUCCUCGGCUGGGAUCGUUUGAAGCCGCAUUUAAACUGCAUUUUGGAAGUUCAAAAUCGGGGCACCAUAGCAGUCCAUUAUAUGGAGAAAAAUCCUGAAAUGUUUUCCUCAAAAAACAUAAUUUCUUUACGACUGAAGAAAGAAAGACAUGAACAUCUUGGAUGACAAGGGUGUGAGUACAUCAUCUGUAAAUUGUUGUGUUG